AUUGAACGCUGGCGGCAUGCCUUACACAUGCAAGUCGAACGGUAACGCGGGGCAACCUGGCGACGAGUGGCGAACGGGUGAGUAAUACAUCGGAACGUGCCCAGUAGUGGGGGAUAGCCCGGCGAAAGCCGGAUUAAUACCGCAUACGACCUACGGGUGAAAGCGGGGGAUCGCAAGACCUCGCGCUAUUGGAGCGGCCGAUGUCAGAUUAGGUAGUUGGUGGGGUAAAGGCCUACCAAGCCUACGAUCUGUAGCUGGUCUGAGAGGGCGACCAGCCACACUGGGACUGAGACACGGCCCAGACUCCUACGGGAGUCAGCAGUGGGGAAUUUUGGACAAUGGGCGCAAGCCUGAUCCAGCCAUGCCGCGUGCGGGAAGAAGGCCUUCGGGUUGUAAACCGCUUUUGUCAGGGAAGAAACGCUCUGGGUUAAUACCUCGGGGUAAUGACGGUACCUGAAGAAUAAGCACCGGCUAACUACGUGCCAGCCGCCGCCGUAAAAC
rnacentral:rRNA from 1 species